CUGAUAUCUCUAGAUGUUGUUUAUCUUUGGCUUAUUUUUUCCGCUGUUGAUGUAGACGCCUUAUAUGUGUUGACAUAUGGCGGGUCUGGGCACGCUACCGGGAGGGCCUCUGCCGGUCCCGGGGCGUGACAGAUUAGUUUGGUAUCAGAGCCUAGGGUUGAGUCUUAGUGGACCUAGCAAACCUUAGGCCGGUUGGACUAUAGGAAAUAGGCUCGUGAGAGACGAGGUCUAAUUGAAUUGUUAGUGAAAGUAUUUCGAUUGGGUUUGAUGAUAACUCUAAAAAGUUAGAGUUUGAUUGGAGUGUAUGGCUUCUAACUACGUGGAGGGUUACGUUGGCGGCCGACAACGUAACAUCGGAAGUUAGUAGUGAAGGACACUUCCUUACGUUCGCAUGAUUUGGGUACUUAUUUAUUUGAGCAGGGUUGCGAUAGCGUGGGUUUUACUAACUUGCGCUUUUAUAAUGUUGUAGUGACAAUGCCGACGACUCGCUCCAAGUCUAUCAGAGCGAACAAUGCGGCAAACUUUGAGGAGGUGGAGACCUCCGCUACCUCCGGAUCUGGCGAGG
rnacentral:lncRNA from 1 species